rnacentral:lncRNA from 1 species
AUCCUUAUGAAUGCAAUGAGGACUUUUAUUUUGGCAGAUGAGCAGAUCUGUCUGUCUGGGUUUCACCCAUCACAUCUUCAUCACAUUCGGACAUAUAAUCACUGUUUUCCAUCUCUCCUGCCGCUGUCAUCGCCUGUUUUUCGAUCCAGGAUAAUUAUCUACCUUUUUACCGUCGCGUGGUCCACUAUAUGUGUUUCAGCAGCAGAAAUGGACAACAGCUCGACGACUUGUCCAUUUGACACACAGGGCUACAGUUCAACAUUUAAGCGGAAACGAACAGUGGAAGAUUUCAACAAGUUCUGUACUUUUGUGCUCGCAUAUGCCGGUUAUAUUCCUUAUCCACAGGAGGUGAGUAUGAUCUUGUCUUUGUUAUGUAACUGAGUGGUGAUUGUGGAAAAAAUGCUACUCACUGUGCUUGUACAUUUGAUAGAAAGUGUUGCAGGGUGAAGUGGCCUUGCUUUCCUCAGGAUCGCUCAACGAUCUGACACUUCGACCUCCAGAUGUUCCUUUCCGUGGCAGUGGUGUAGCACUGGGUGUUCAUGGGAAUUUUUUUCCUUUUUUUUUUUUUUUGGUGCCACACCUCUUAUGAGCUGCUUUGCUGCUGAUGCUCUUGUUUGAUCUACAGAAAUGGUGGUGGCUCUUAUGUCAUGGCCGCUGAGAGACAUCCCCCCUCCAAAAAAACCUCAGCCCUCCCUCCCUGGGUAAGAGGGCCACUCCAGUCUCCUCCAUUCUCAUCCCAGACCUUGUCUCUUAAGUGCCAUUCUUCACAACAGCAGUGUGUGUGCAUCCACAAACACUUCAGUUUCAGGUCUUCCCUUUAAUGGAUCCUUCAAAUGGAUGGAGGCUAAAUCAAGGAAAAUCUGUUGCAGGGAAAUGCAUGAGGGCCGAUAAUUGCCCCAAAUGUUCCAAAACCCAGUGUGCUGUCUACAUAGGGUGCUGCCUUCUAAGGAAACAUCCUAUCUGCUAACAUACAGUGCAUGGGACACUCAACUCUCAAAUGACACUGGCAUGAUGGUUAGAUAAUAAUAAAAUGGGGGUACAUAUAUAUAUAUAUAUAUAUAUAUAUAUAUAUAUACAUAAAA